rnacentral:lncRNA from 1 species
GGAUGAUAAGGAAAAUUUUUGUCAAAUGUUAGAAAUUUGCUUGGAAGUUAGGAAUUUAAUUAACGUUAGUUCUUUCUUCUAUAAUUUUUUUUAUUUCCUUUCUUCUUAAUUUUUUUGUUUUAUUUUACUUUGCUAAUCGGGGUUGUGAGGGAUACGGGGUUAACGUAAAUUUUGUUGUUAGUCACUGUCAAAAGGCUAUCAGGUAAGUAACUGUAAAUGUUAACGUUUCUGCGGUUUUCUUAAUUAUUGUAACUUGCUUUGAAUUGGGUAUUUUGUGAGUUGCAAAAAUCUUUGAUAAACGAUCGUUUGUUUUCCUAAUAGGCGAGAAUAUUAGCAAUAAGG